UACGUAGGCAGCAAGCGUUGUUCGGAAUUACUGGGUUUAAAGGGUGCGUAGGCGGAUUAGUAAGUCAGUGGUGAAAGCCCAUCGCUUAACGGUGGAAUUGCCAUUGAUACUGCUAGUCUUGAGUAUGGUUGAGGUGGGCGGAAUGUGUCAUGUAGCGGUGAAAUGCUUAGAUACAAUCAAGAACUCCGAUUGCGUAGGCAGCUAACUAGGCUGUAACUGACGCUGAGGCACGAAAGCGUGGGGAGCGAACAGG
rnacentral:rRNA from 1 species